AUAGGCAUUAUGUUUUUGGACGGGUGUGUAACACAGUGGUCUGCCCUGGAAGAGAAAUGUGUGCUCAGAAAUGGAUAUAACCCAUGGUACCAAAAACAGAGCAGAAAACCCCCUCUGUGUACAAAUUGAAAUCUCCUAAAUCGGUUGACAAUCUGACAAAUUCUGUGUGCCUUAUCACAGAUUUUCCAAGCCCCAACAAAACUUUAAACAUUGAUGGGGAAGUAGUAGAUCUGAAUGUCGUGGCUGUGUUGGACAAUUCAACAAAUAAUGUCUGGAGAUACAGUACAGUCAUAUGGGAUAACAACAACAAAGAUGUUGCCUGUAAUGGGAAAUAUGAUGAUAAGGAUUUCUAUGCAAAAUCUGACACAGAUAACACUGAGGAGACUUGCUCGUCAUCAGUCUCCAUUGAUGAGAAUUUCAAAACAAAUCCAAGCUUGAACACAAUAUCUCUAACAGUGCUUGGAUGGAGGUUUUUUACAGCCAAAUCUAUUGUAUUCAAUCUCAUAAUAACCGCACAACUUUGGUCAUCAUAAGGAAUUGAUCUUCUGGACAUAUGGACUAUCAUCUCUUUUCUCAAACUUACUUGAAACAUAACUGUAAUGUUAUGUCUCUAUGAACUGGAUUUGGAUACAUGUUUUUAUGCUGCACUUGUAAUAACUAUAGAUUUAUACAUAUGUAAAUACAUCAAUGCUAUUAUUAUAUGAAAAAAUAUAUACAUGGCUUUAGUUUUUGCCAAUGGUUCUCCAAGGUACCCCAGCGACCUAUAGAGAAAUGCACUUUGUGGGAGUUGGGAAGUUAGGCCCAGAUCAAUAAGUGAAGGCACAUACAGAUGUUAUAGAGAGUAAGCUAUUAGGGAAGAAUACCUAUUGUUUUGAUAACAUUCAUAUGCAACAAACAAUGUGUUCCUAAAGAUGAAAAGUAAACUCUUGUAAAUCUUAUAACAUCAACAAAAAAUAAAUAUGCUUUCAAAUGUCACAACAAUGAAUAUAUACAGUUCAUAUUCUUUACAUAUUCUUAUCAUAUGAUAACUUUAUUAUUCAGAAAUGUUUGUUAUUUUAAAUAGAUUGUAUGAUUACAUGUAUAGAUACUCUUCCAUUUAUAAAUGGAUUUUUAUAAAAUCUCUGUGAGGCCCCGUACACACGUCCGAGGAACUCGACGUGCCAAACACAUC